UGCAUGUUUGCAAUUAGAUACCAGUUUGUCUUGGCCCAUAUUUUAUAUUGCUGGUGAUUUUUUUUCCCCUCUAAAUACCUGUUAUGUCUUUAAUCAGCAUUCCCUAUAAAGGCCAGUCCACUGAAAACUUUCUUCUCUCUUGGUUCUUUCUUUAUCUGUCUGCUAAUAUUGUGCUGUUUGGAGUAUCAUAUUUGGAAAGUCCUUUAUGUAUAGUCAUGUGUCAUUUAAAUACAGGGAUACAUUCUGGAGGAGCACGUUUAGCUUGUCUCCCCAUUGCACAAACAUCAUUCUGUAUUCACACGAUCCUGGAUGGCACAGCUUCUUGCACACCUAGGCUCUGUGGUAUUAGUGGUUCCUGGACCACAGACCUCCCCAGCAUGUUGCUUUACCAAAUCCUGCAGUUGACAGUGCAUUAGGUUUAUUAUACCAGCUCACACACAAGGAGUCCCUUUACUACAGACAACCGUGUAUGUGUGGCCUAUGUGACCACAAAUGUCCUUGAACAAAAAUCUGCUAUGUGCCACAUGACUGUGUGUUAGACAAGCCAGCAGUCUGCUAUUCAGACAACGGUAACAAUUGUUGCAUAUUUCUUAUUCCUGUUAGGCUUGGAAAAGUACUUUCUUGACCACUAUAAAGUCUAUUUUGGAGUUUUGGAAAAUUUUGCAAGGCUAUCAUAUGGAAGAGGUGACCUUUGGUGACAUUGAAUUAUUCCUAAGAGACUCACAUCUUUCUGCUUACCCCAUUCUUCUUUGACAUUAUCAGAAGAAAUUAAGAAGCUGUUUAUUGAUCAUUGUUCUUGUUUUUUAGUUGGUUAAAUUUGGUCUGAAGUAAAACAUUUGCAGCCUUCUAAUUGUUCUCAAUUCCCAUUGAAUACAUUGUGACCCUGUGGAUGAAAUGUCUACCAGCAACAUGCCGAGUCCCCAGCCUGCUUGAGCAGAGAGCAUUGGGUUGUUUUAUUAUUAUUAUUAUUAUUAUUAUUAUUAUUAUUACAGAGGGGUGAUGAUUCUUUAAGUUCUAAGGUAAAAGUGGAAGAAAAUAAUAGGCUUUCUGAAGGAAGGCAGAGGUUCAGUAAAAACCAUGUUGUUUCCCAACACACUCAGCCCUUGUGACUCAAUGUUACUGCUCAGUUCAGUGGGAUCCUCCC
rnacentral:lncRNA from 1 species